AAACAAAUACUGACUACCUGAAGAUUUUAUUAGCUCUAUCUGAUGGUGGGCUUCUUUGGCAUUUAUUGUGGGGCAAACUCAAAUCUGUUGACUGCAUUCAAAAGCUCUUUAAUUUUUUUUAGGUGGAGUUUAAGGCUGGAUAUACAGCUUGAAAAGUACAAAUGAUGGUUUGAAUAAAGAAAGGUAUGAACGCAUGGGUCACUUCAAGUGAAGGCACUGCAAACACAAUGAUCAGUCAUUCUGGAUUUCUGGUCCUUCUGAAUUUUAAAGGCUGCGGUGACAAGUGGACAUGCAGUGACUACCUUUUGUACCUUCCUGUUUCUGAGGUGCCUGGAUGGAGGUUCAAAUAGAAGAUAGUGUCAGAUAUACAUUGUGUUGUCAAAAUUUUACCAUUAAAGUGCAUUACAACAUGAA
ensembl:processed_transcript uncharacterized LOC110297540